GGGCGCAUAGCUCAGUUGGUUAGAGCGCUACAUUCACAUUGUAGAAGUCGUAGGUUCGAGUCCUAUUGCGCCCACCA
rnacentral:tRNA from 1 species